CUGUAGAAAACCUUAAGACAGGGUAAGAUUAGGAACCUUGGGAAAUACAAAUGGGACAAAAAGAUUAAGUCAAGACGAACAGUUUGAAUAUUGUUAUCACUUUAAAUGAAACAAUAUAGUAUGGUAUAAAUUUUGUAAUCUGCUUUCCUCAUUACUGCGAUAUGUCCUCACAAAGAAAUCAAAAUCAAUGUUUACCAUUACAUCUAACUAUAAGAUGAGGAAACAUUCCCUUAGCCUCCCAUCUUACCAGCUCUCCUUUGAGGGGAAAUCAAAUGAAAACCCACCAACCGCAUUAACAAACAGCAUAUAUUUGUGGCACACAGUGCUUGGUUGAUAGACAUUAUUGCUUUCCUGUUACGGGCUAACAGGAUCCAUUAAUUCACAUUUGAGGCUUAAUCAUGUGCAAGGAAAAUGGAAAAAAUAUUUGAUAAUGACCUUUUAUGGGCUGUUGGUUGUAAUACUGCUUACUUAUUAAACAAAGUAACUACUUUGGGUAGAUAAGAGGAUGAAGAAGUGGGCAUUGAAAUGCUUUCGUAAGUGUUAACCCUUAACCGUACUAAAAACUCACAUAUGGAAAAGAUUAAAGGUGGUAAAUAUUAGGCCUCAGUGCAACUUCUGUUUACUGUGACCAACAGUGUAUAUAAAUCAUCCAACCUGCCCCAAAUACUAUAAAUCAACCAACAGUACACUUCUAUCCUAUUUACACCUCUAUCCUGUUAACACUCGUUUCAGGUUUUAAUGUUUCCUGUGGCUUUUACAUGUUGAGCUUCAUAUUUUAUAAUACACUAUUUGUAUAAUAGAAAACUCAUCAAAAGAA
rnacentral:lncRNA from 1 species